CAGGGCUAUUAGCUCAGUUGGUUAGAGUAUGCUCCUGAUAAGGGUAUGGCCGUUGGUUCAAAUCCAACAUAGCCCAAAAAUAGGGAAUAUAGCUCAAUUUGGUAGAGUGUUGCUUUUGCACAGCGAAGGUUAGCGGUUCAAACCCGCUUAUUUCCAUAAAAAUAAUUGCAUAGAGUAGAAUCCUAGGUAUCUAGAGUCGAAGAAGGGCGUUUUAUGAUUACGAUAAGCUUAAAAUAUAGAUAAUUUUAAGAUCCCCUAAUAGGAUAACCUAAAAAAAAUUUUGAAAUAAAUUUUUUUUAUUUUCUUUUAAAUUCAUAAAAAAGAAAAUGGUAACUCAGUGAACUGAAUCAUCUUAGUAACUGAUGGAAAAGAAAGCAACAGCGAUUUCCUUAGUAGUGGUGAGCGAAAAGGAAACAGUCUAAAAAAAGAUUUCUAUUUUUUUAUUUAUGAAAUAAUUAAUCAUUAUGCCAAAGAUGGUAUUAGCCCAGUAAUUAAAUAAAAUAAUAACACUUUAAAUCUUUUUUGUAAAGUAGUAUGGAAGAUAAUCCGUAUGAAAAUAUAAGGACCACCUUAUAAGACUAAAUACUCCUAGAUAACCGAUAGUGAACUAGUACCGUGAGGG
rnacentral:rRNA from 1 species